rnacentral:lncRNA from 1 species
AGAGCACUCCUUCAUUCUCAAAACACACAGUUCAGGGCCCAGCUCCAGGUGCCUCAGCCCCUAGGAAUCCCCUUGUCUGCACUUGAUCCUAGAAAGGGCAGAAGAAAAGCCACUGGGUAGGACCAGAUUGCACACUGUGUUCAGAACAUGUGUGGCACUUGGGGGUGUGGGAUAGGAACAUCUUCCUGGGAGCUCUGUUGCUGGGUCCCUCUAUGAGGUGGAUUCCAUGUGGCUCCGCCCAGCACCAAGAUCUGACCACAUCCCGCUGGACCACAGAAAAACUACUAUGUAGCUUUCCUUUCCCUCUGCUGCUCCAAGCAAGGUCCUCCUCACCUCCCAACCCUCCUUCCCCCACUCUCCCUCCCCUCACAUCCCCUCCCAGCCAUAGCUGAAUGACCCUCCCACCCCUUCUCACCCACUCUCCCGGCCAUAGCUGCAUGACCCUCCUGCCUCUGCGAAUGUUCAGGUCUACCGCCUUAAAGAGAAGCCAGAGACGGAGAUUAAAUACAAGCAUUAAAGACAAAACAAAAUGCAGAGGUCUGAAGAUAGUGGUCAUCUUUAACAACAAAAUCUUGAAGAUUUUUACUCUAGACGUCCGUGGUCAGGGGAAUCCCCUCUGGGAUGGAACCAAGUGAGGACAUUGUCACAGGAAAGGCCCCAAAGACACUUCAUCACCAGAAACACGAGAGGAUGUCCCGAGGCUGAAUGGAGAUUGCCCCAGGGUAUCUGAGGUACCUUUAGGGAUGAAGGAAGAGAAACAGCAGUCAUGGUAUGCCCACGUCUCUGUGGCUACUUUGAUGCGAGAGGUAAAAAAACCUUUGAAACAUAAUGAACCCGUGAG